rnacentral:rRNA from 1 species
UACGGAGGGGGCUAGCGUUGUUCGGAAUUACUGGGCGUAAAGCGCACGUAGGCGGCUUUGUAAGUUGGAGGUGAAAGCCCAGGGCUUAACCCUGGAAUUGCCUUUAAGACUGCAUCGCUAGAAUCGUGGAGAGGUGAGUGGAAUUCCGAGUGUAGAGGUGAAAUUCGUAGAUAUUCGGAAGAACACCAGUGGCGAAGGCGACUCACUGGACACGUAUUGACGCUGAGGUGCGAAAGCGUGGGGAGCAAACAGG